rnacentral:lncRNA from 1 species
AAUUUUAAGGAUUUUGGGUUUCAUUUCUGGUGGUUUUUAGGUUUCGUUUUGGGUCAAAUUUGGAGGAUUUUGGGGUUUCGUUUGUGGUGGUUUUUGGGGUUUCAUUUUGGGGUAAACUUGGAGGAUUUUGGGGUCUCAUUUUGGGUCAAAUUUGGAGGUUUUUGGGGUUUCAUUUUGGGUCAAAUUUCACAGAUUUUGGGGUUUCAUUUCUGGUGUGUUUUGGGUUUUAUUUUGGGUGAAAUUUCACGGAUUUUGGGUUUCAUUUCUGGAGGUUUUUGGGUUUCGUUUUGGGGUAAACUCAGAGGAUUUGGGGGUCUCAUUUUGGGUCAAAUUUUGAGGAUUUUAGGGUUUCAUUUCUGGAGGUUUUUGGGUUCUGUUUUGGGGAGGAAAACGGGGAUUUUGGGGUCCGAUCACCCCCACCGUGGGGGGGGGGGGGGCGCUGCCCUCCGUUUUGGGUGAAAAUCUUUGGGAUUUCGUCCCUCCCACCCCUCGGUCAGCGUCUGACGUCCCGUAGCGAAGAGGGGAUGGAAUCCCAAAGAUUUUGACCCAAAAUGGAGAAUGAUGGCCAAGGGAGGGGACAAAAUCCCAAAGAUUUUGACCCAAAAUGAGGAAUGAUGACCAAGGGGGGGGCGAAAUCCCAAAGAUUUUGACCCAGGGUGGGGGACGAUGACCCAGGGGAGAAGGAAUCCCAAAGAUUUUGGGUUUAGGGAUGGAAGGUGAUGGCCCAACGGGAGGACAAAAUCCCAAGGAUUUUG